UAUAAAAUGGCUGACAAAAGACCCUACAAGGUGGGUAGAAGAGGCUCAAUGAAACAAUUUUAAUCCCAAAGUGAUCAGGUAAGGAAUUGCAUUCUUUGCUUUUUCCAGAAAAUAGCGUGGAAAGGAGGGGUUAAAAGCUUACAUUGUGGGGAAAAAUUUCAGGGAAAGUGGCUUAGUUCCUCUGGUCCAUUCAUCAUCUGAGCAGAGAAAUAUCACUGCAUGCAUGAAGUUAGCUCUGCAGGACUCUCUGCCUGUCAAAACUGUUUAUCUGCACUUGCCAACAACAGCAAGAAAGGCAGGAGGACUGGCGGCCGUGAUGGUGAAUGAGUUGGACACAUGUGGAGAAGGUGCACGAGCUGAACUUCCUCACUGAUGCAGAAGAGAUAGAAGAAAAAGGGAAAAAAUGUGAGGUAUCUAACUGUAGAGAGUUUAACAGUGCAAUUAGUUACCAAAAAGAUUGGUCUUUUGCCACAUUUCUCCAUGGGCAACUGAACAGAUAGGUCUUAGUAGUCCAAUCAGCCGUCAAUUAGCUGCCGAAGGUAUGGGGACAAAUGCCAACAGAACCAGUUGCUGGAGGAUACUGGCCCAUUAACAUAUAGCAGUAGGGAGUUGAGCUGGGAAUAUUGCAUUUAGAUAGUACAGAAAUAAUGUGAUAAUCAUUUAUUAGGGCACUUUUCAAUGCUUGGUGCAGUUAUAUAAAGAGGUACCAAAAAUUCCCACAGUCUAAAUCAAAGCAAGCCUUAAACCUUUGUGAGGGCUAUUUGGACAAAAAAAAAAAAAAAAAGAAAAAAAGAAAAAAAAAAAGGAGGGUGGAGGGGGGGAGGGAAGCGAAUUCACAUUUAUAAAAAGAAAUCCGCACACAAUGAGCUGAAGGUUGUGCUUCUGCACUUCCUGGUCUGGGUGUGAGCAGAAGAGGAAAUACCAAAAUACCACCAGAAAAAACUUCCCACAGCAUUUCCAACCUGACUUAAACCAGAAAGCUCUGACCAUCCUGCAAAAAAAGAGGGAAAAAAAGCAACUGAACCAGUCCCAAGGCUCCUGCUCAUCAGACAGCCAACCACAUUUCCAAAGCUAGGGGAUCUGGGUAGACUUAGAGAAGUCUUCACAUUUCCCCUCAGUCUUCAUCUGUGCUCUCUAUUUUCUGCAGUUCACUGAUCAUUAGUGAUGUUCCGACUCUUCUGCCAGCUUUGAGAGGAGCACGUUUCUGCUUUGGCCACUUCAGUCACAGCCAUGGACAGAGCACAGCCACGAGACAGGACACCAAGGUCUGGUCUAACUCAGAGAACCAAGUCCCUGGAACAGGUCCAAGGAGCAGCUCAGGAAUGUGCAGUGCAACCACAGCCUGCAGCUAAGGGACACAACAAAAGCUGCAACAGUGAUGAUGUUUUAUCUUCCACAUCUGACUCCAAAAACUCUUCCAUGGAUGCCAGCAAUGAAAUCUGAUUCAAAGAGGUCUGAAAUGAAGAUUUUUUUUUCUUUUCAAAGCUGACUCACUGAUUUUGAGACCAGUCAAUGUGUUGCAUUUGUGACCAUGUUUUAACUAAAAACACCUCAGGCUAGUAAUAAUGCUGCCAUGGGCUCUCGCAUCCAAAAAUGAAGUUAAAACCUUAGCUAAGCCUCAUGUUUGAAUAUAGCUUUCCAGUUUGGAGCAGCACAGCACUCAGCAUUUUCCCUCCAACAACGAAAGCCCCUUUCUGGCCUCCCGGAACAUUACUGCAGAAAAUACGCUUUCACUCCUACUGCAAACUUAUUUAAGAGACAAUAGGAGAAAUAGUUAUCACAUGGGUUUUUCUUCAAUUUUAAAACUGGAUCAACAAUAAAGCUUAAAAGACCAAGGAAGCAUACAAUGACACUCAUAAAACGAUCUUUUUCUUUUACGAUUAAAUUUCACGCAGAUUGAGUUGUUGCAAUUUGCUACAUGUGGCCCCAAUUCUGCAAGCCUUCCCUUAGUACGAGCUCUUUUAAAAGCCACUGAGGUUGUUUGUGUGAGUAGAAGUUACUCACAUGGGUAAGGACUGGUAGAAUCUGGCCUGAUAGAUUUAGUUACGGUAAAGUUUACCUAGAUGUUAUCUAGGCUGUAGAGCAGUGUGUAUUUUUAGAAAUGAAAAAUGGACUUAAUUAUUUUUAUUUAUUUAUUUAUUUAUUUUUAAGAAAAGUUUUACCUUCAGCUAUACCCCUCUGCUUUUUGCAGUUUGCUCAGCAGCCACACUCUGGCUGCGCUCAGCCUUUGUCCUUGUCCGAGAGCUGUACGGGACUGAGCACCCUCCCAGCCGAUGCCCUGUAACUCACCAGGACUUGUGCAGGCUGAAUUCCCAUUCCAGAUUUGCUCUUCAAACCUAAGGCCAUUGUUCCAUCUCAAACUAAAAUGUAUUCUCCCAUGGGCAGCUGGAAAAGACCAUUUUUCUUCAAGUUUUAUUUCCAAAAAAAAAAAAAAAAAGGAAUAAAAAAGAAAAA